rnacentral:rRNA from 1 species
AGCGAACGCUGGCGGCAGGCUUAACACAUGCGAGUCGAGCGGGCAUCUUCGGAUGUCAGCGGCAGACGGGUGAGUAACACGUGGGAACGUACCCUUCGGUUCGGAACAACUCUGGGAAACUGGAGCUAAUACCGGAUACGCCCUUAUGGGGAAAGGUUUACUGCCGAAGGAUCGGCCCGCGUCUGAUUAGCUAGUUGGUGGGGUAACGGCCUACCAAGGCGACGAUCAGUAGCUGGUCUGAGAGGAUGAUCAGCCACACUGGGACUGAGACACGGCCCAGACUCCUACGGGAGGCAGCAGUGGGGAAUAUUGGACAAUGGGCGCAAGCCUGAUCCAGCCAUGCCGCGUGAGUGAUGAAGGCCUUAGGGUUGUAAAGCUCUUUUGUCCGGGACGAUAAUGACGGUACCGGAAGAAUAAGCCCCGGCUAACUUCGU